rnacentral:rRNA from 1 species
GAUGAACGCUGGCGGCGUGCCUAAUACAUGCAAGUCGAACGGAAAGACGAUGAGCUUGCUGCUUUGACGUUAGCGGAGGGCGGGUGUGUAACGCGUGGAUAACGUACCUAUAAGACUGGGAUAACUUCGGGAAACCGGAGCUAAUACCGGAUAAUAUCUUGAACCGCAUGGUUGGAUAGUGAAAGACGGUCUUGCUGUCACUUAUAGAUGGAUCUGCGCUGGAUGAGCUAGUUGGUAAGGUAAUGGCUUACCAAGGCAACGAUGCAUGGCCGACCGGAGAGAGUGGUCGGCCACAUUGGAACUUGGACGCGGUCCAGACUCCUACGGUAGGGAGCAGUAGGGAAUCUUCCGCAAAGGUCGAAAGCAUGACGCAGCAACGCCGAGCGAGUUAUGACGGUCCUCGGAUCGUAAAACUCUGUUUUUAGGUAAGAACAUAUGUGGAAGUAACUGUGCAGUGCGUGACGGUAACUAAUCAGAAAGCCGCGGCUAACUACGUG